CAAGAUAAACUAAAUUCUGAAAAUGAAACCUUACGGUCAAACUCAGAACAAUUGAUCCAGAAAAAUCAGAACCUAAUUAAAGAAAAUCAAAACUUAAGCAAAGAAAUUAACCAAUUAAGAUCUGUUAUUAACAAAUUCACUGUAAGUUCAGAAAGAUUAAAAAUGAUGUUUGAAAGCCAACAUGCUGAUUUUGAUAAAUCAAAAUUUAGCUUGACUCCUUCACUUAGCCAUAAAUCUCUAGAGAAAAAUGGUUAUCAAUUUACCAAGCAAACCAUUAAAUAAGAUAACUUAUUUCAAAAAUGAAAAGGAUGGGAAUAACAACUUUACCCAUCGUUCUAGUAUAAUUAAAUCAAAUGGUAAAGUUAUUACUAUUAAACAGAUAUGGGUUCCAAAAGGAACCAUAUGUCCUAACUCUCAAGGACUCAAGCAAGCUUGGGUACCCAAAAUGAGAAAAUGAGGAUGUACACAUAGGUGUACCAAGGUACCCAUGGAACAUAAAGAAACUUAAAAUGUUAUUAACAAAAAAAUAAUAAUG
rnacentral:lncRNA from 1 species